UCCCCGUUACCGAGGCAGUAUCUUGAGACAUAGUAACUCAAAAUGAGGGUUGCGCUCGUUUAAGGACUUAACCUGACAUCUCACGACACGAGCUGACGACGGCCAUGCAUCACCUGUCACUGGUCCAGCCGAACUGACUCUCUAAUUUCUUAGAGAUAUGACCAGGAUGUCAAGUCUGGGUAAGGUUCUUCGCGUGCCCUCGAAUUAAACCGCACGCUCCACCGCUUGUGCGGGUCCCCGUCAAUUCCUUUGAGUUUUAGCCUUGCGGCCGUACUCCCCAGGUGGGAUGCUUAACGCGUUAGCUUCGCUACCGAGCGGGUCGAUACGCCCAACAGCUAGCAUCCAUCGUUUACAGCGUGGACUAC
rnacentral:misc_RNA from 1 species